UACGUAGGUGGCAAGCGUUGUCCGGAUUUACUGGGCGUAAAGAGCGCGCAGGCGGUCAAGUAAGUUGAAUGUGAAAGCCCCCGGCUCAACUGGGGAGGGUCAUUCGAUACUGCUCGACUUGAAGGCAGGAGAGGGCAGCAGAAUUCCCGGUGUAGUGGUGAAAUGCGCAGAUAUCAGGAGGAACACCCGUAGCGAAGGCGGCACUCUGGGCCGGAACUGACGCUGAGGAGCGAAAGCGUGGGGAGCGAACAGG
rnacentral:rRNA from 1 species